rnacentral:rRNA from 1 species
UACGGAGGGUGCGAGCGUUGUCCGGAAUCACUGGGCGUAAAGGGCGCGUAGGCGGCCUGAUAAGUAGGGGGUGAAAUCCUGCGGCUUAACCGCAGGGCUGCCUUCUAAACUGUCAGGCUUGAGCACAGUAGAGGCAGGUGGAAUUCCCGGUGUAGCGGUGGAAUGCGUAGAGAUCGGGAAGAACAUCAGUGGCGAAGGCGGCCUGCUGGGCUGUUGCUGGACGCUGAGGCGCGACAGCGUGGGGAGCAAACAGG